AGUGAACGCUGGCGGUAGGCCUAACACAUGCAAGUCGAACGGCAGCACAGUAAGAGCUUGCUCUUACGGGUGGCGAGUGGCGGACGGGUGAGGAAUACAUCGGAAUCUACUUUUUCGUGGGGGUUAACGUAGGGAAACUUACGCUAAUCCCGCAUACGACCUUCGGGUGAAAGCAUGGGAUCUUCGGACCUUGCGCGAUUGAAUUAGCCGUUGUCGGAUUAGCUAGUUGGCGGGGUAAAGGCCCACCAAGGCGACGCUCCGUAGCUGGUCUGAGAGGAUGAUCAGCCAAACUGGAACUGAAACACGGUCCAGACUCCUACGGGAGGCAGCAGUGGGGAAUAUUGGACAAUGGGCGCAAGCCUGAUCCAGCCAUACCGCGUGGGUGAAGAAGGCCUUCGGGUUGUAAAGCCCUUUUGUUGGGAAAGAAAAGCAGCAGGUUAAUACCCCGCUGUUCUGACGGUACCCAAAGAAUAAGCACCGGCUAACUUCGUG
rnacentral:rRNA from 1 species